AAACCACCUCAAUCUCCCUUCUCAACUUAAUUAAAUAAUUAUAAUUAAUUAAUUUUUAUAUUUUAAAAAAACACAUUAAUUAAUCUUUAUAAUUUAACUCUAUUAACUAUUUAAUCUCAUAAUUAAUUUUUUAUACAUAAAUUACAAUAAUUUUCUCUUCCUUAUUCCUAUUUUAACUUUUCUUAUUUCUUUUUUUUCGUGUUUUUCUCUAGCCUGUUCUCUUUCCUCCUCAUUCUCUCUUUAUAUUCUUUUGUUGAUGAAAACAGUACAAAAGUUAAACAAUUUUCUUAAAUUUAUAAGUAAUUAAGAAA
rnacentral:misc_RNA from 1 species